ensembl:snRNA U6 U6 spliceosomal RNA
GUGCUUGCUUCGGCAGCACCUAUACUAAAAUUGGAACGAUACAAAGAAGAUUAGCAUGGCUCCUGUGCAAAGAAAUACAGAUAAGCAAGUCUAUAACUAAUACCCAUAAUU